GAUUACAUCGGUUGUGGAGCACACACAUGGGUUUAACCAUCCAGUCCAUUGGCAAAGGUAUCAACUCUGAGGCCCUGCGGAAGAAUGCCGUGUGCAGUAUUUAACCAGCUUAUCUUCUUAUAUAAAUAAUCUUAUCAUUAUACACGUAACAGAGCGGAGCACAGCUAGGCCUACUUCUGAGCGAACAUUUUUGAGAUGAUCCAGGUCCAAUCAAAGGUGAUGGGGAAUACCCAAGAUGUAUUUCAUGCACCCUGGGGCCGCAGGCCGAAUGGUGUAAAAAGGAAACAAUGGUGUAAAAAGAGCAAAUGGUUUGCAAGAUGAUGUUUGUAAGGGUUGUCCCGUCUUGUACACGUAAGAAUGCUGAGCACUGUGCAUUCAACUGAGAGAAGGUGGCUUAAAAUUUAUACAUGAAAAAUGAAAAUAUUUAAGGAAUGAAAGUAAUUUUUAUUUGUUUUAUACGAUACAAAGUAAGUUGAGGCAGUUUACGCAUUGUAAACCGCGAACCGAUCAAAUUGCGUGUAAAAGUAAAAUUAAAUUAUUUUGGUUUAAAUACAAAGCACGAAUUUGUUUUCAAAUUAAGUUAUAAUGCGUGGUAAUCAAAGCAAGUUUGAUUUACUAAGCAUCUUCAUGUUUAGAUAUAUCAGUCAUUUAUAACUCAGAUUGUGUUUGGUGAAGUGAAGUGUAAAUGCAUAAAUACGAUGUCAAGUUCAUUAACAAUUAACACGAUGGAGAUGAUCAUAAUAUAUUUAUCACUAAAUUUUGCGGACACACAAUUUAUACUUGAUAACAAUAUACUUCAAGGAAUUUCAAAAUUGAAUGUUUGUAAACGUCCUCCUAGUUUUGUUUCGCUUUCGGCAAUGAUCAUUUCAAAUUAAUGCAAUACCGGUUCGUCAAAAUUCUGAACAAUCUACUUACAAGUUCAAGAAAUGAUAGGAAAAUCAGGGAAAAAAUCUUGAAUUUCAUUUACACGAUGAUACGACAGUUGUGAAUACGGAUACCACCUAAAUAAUGCACAUACCCUUUAAAGUUAUAUAUUGACAUUGUUUUUGAUAAAUUGUCAGCUAUCAUGGGUGUUAUAUAUGAAGGAAGAAAUGAAAUGUCAAAUGGUUACUGAUUUUGAGUCUGGUUGAAUUGUAUAAAAUCAUGUUAAUAAAGCAAAAACACAAUAAGCAUUGUAACAAGAUACCCAAUGAUUAAUAGUGAGGUAAAUGUAAAGGGAAUCCCUGAACCAUCUGUACAUGUAUAUUAAAAUCUUUACAAUAUAAUGUUUCAAGUAAAGCACUAUUUCCAUAUUGUUAGGGGGAAAACAAACGACUGUUAACUUCAAACAACGAAGUCUUGCUGUGUUUAUAUAUUUUC